AAUCUGUUUCGAUAUUUAUUUUUUCCGAAAUAUAUAUUAUCAGUACAUUGAUACAAUUUAUUAUAAAUAUAACUCCACACUUAUUACCCAAAUCAUCAUUCUUCAAAUCAUUUCCAAUUUUCAUACGGGCAAUGCAAAUAUUCAAACGCGAAAGAUUUUUGAGGUAUUCUGACUAAAAUUUCGCUCUCGAGUCUAUCGCUAUUUACACGAUUAAUGAUGUGUUUGAAAUGAAAUUAUCUCGCAACACCAUCUCAACUUCCAACCACAAAUUACGAUAAAUUCGGCAGUUCGGGAGUCAGUAUUAGCACGACUCUAAAUCAAGAAAGUCCUAUCUCUAUCGUACGAUCUCCGCCUGUCUUCGAUAAGUUGCCUGCUCGAGAGGCUCAUCGCGGUCGUCCCGUGUUAGAGAUCGUCACAUAGAAAUCCGCAAAUUGAGAAAGGAUCGUUGCACAAGGAGGAUGCAACCGCAUAUCUCCUCCGCUUUCGACCUUUAGGGCCAGCACGAGACACAAAUCACAUCGCGCUGCGCCGCGCGCUUGCUCGCUCGCUCGACUCGCAAGCGGGGAAUUUAUUACGAAAUAAACUAGAUUCUUUUCUCUUUUCCUUUUUCCAUCUUAAGAUCGUGACACUCUCGCGACGAUAGUUCUGACGCAAAUCCUGCGACGCAUCGCAUUAUUACGCGUGACCAAUGAGUAAAUGCCUCCUCUCAUCAAAGGGACAAAGAAAAUGAGGGAUGAAGACGUAUCGCUUUUAUACCGUACGAUUUGAAUCUCAAUUCAAUUUGUUUGUCAUACGCGAAAGAAAUUAUGAGUCUGAUUAUUCUCUUCAAACAGAUAUCCUUUGACAAUUCUAUAAUUUAUCUAGAAAGGUAAUUAUCGGUUCUGUUGAUUUUACUUAUAAUAUUUACUUGUUAGAACAAUUUACUUGAUUUUUAAUUAUUGUUUUGUCAUUGUCUUGCGUUCGAGAUAAAGUGUCUCGUGAAAAUUCGCGAAGUACUCGCUGUUGCGUGAAACGCUUUGCGCUCGCCGACCUUUACGGGGCCAAAUCACACACGCGACGAGUCACGGCAUCGCGUUAGCGAUGCACGCACAGCUCUACGCACUGGCACGCCGCUCACGCGUGCACGUAUCCUCGCCAGUACUAGCACCGUACAACCAGGUACGCACAACUGCUGGAAUACUAAUGCCCCGUAUGGGACACGCUCGGUCAUCCGCGUAAAAUCCGUCUUUUAUCCUCGUAAGGUCACACACCAAUCCGAGGAGUCAAUGAUAAUGAGAAACGGAUAGCACAGUCAUCGAUGGCUGUCAAUAAGAGAGUCGAAAAAUGAUCUUUAGCAAAUCAGGGAUGGUGGCAAUCGUUGUUGUAAAUUUAAACCGUAAAACUAUCAUUUGGAUCGAUGAAUAUCUUUCAGUAGUUAUAAGAAUUUUGUAUCUUAAUUCUUUUUUUGGUUUCAUAUGUCAUUUACUGGCAAAUUGUACGCGAGUAAUUUUAAAUCAAUGGCUUAAUUUUUGCAAAAAUAAUAUCUUUAUUUUUUUUAUAACUACCUUAUUAAAGAGGAGUUCUUGAGGACUAUUUUAAUAGUUAAGAUUUCAAGAUGUAAAAGUAAUUUGGAAUUGUUAAUUGUUCAUAAAAGACCGGAAAUUAUCAGUGGCGUUAAUCUGCGCAACUAAAAAAUUUAUAUAAAUAACGAGAUAGAAACCGAAACGAACGUAACAAUCUUUCUUCAUUCUCAUUCUUCUACGUUUUGUGACUUACGCGACACAAUAAGAAUCUAACGCAAUCCUUCCGGGAUUUACCUAACAGCAGACCGAGUAUCUUACUUGUUACAUGACUUUUAGUUAAAUAAUUAAUUACGCUAAUAGCAUUAUGACAUUUCAUGAUUUAAAGCAUUCUUAUCACGGGAAAUCUAUCAUUGGCGUCUUCUUCCUCGGCACAAAUUAUACAUGGUAAAACAAACGAUGUACAGAAAAACAGGAUUUAUCAUCGUGAUAAUUAUGUAUUAUAAAACAGAUGAUACUCUUUUUAAGAAACCAAAAUAAUAGAUAAAUAAAUUAGACAAGAAAUUGAAACAUUUUUCACUAAUUUCAAGUAAUGUGAACAAAUGAGCAAUCAAUUUUUAAUUCAUCUGUGAAGAGACCGUGAAAAGAAAUUAUGCUAGCCGAAGAAAGGAUCCAGGAUUUUCUUGCAUACGCAUACAUAGUCGAUUGUUGGAAGAACUACGACACGACCUACCAUCACCACCGCUGCUUGACUGUACGCAAGUAAACGCGUUAAUAUCAGGAAUUACUUGGGGAAUAUCGCCGGCUAGACAACUUGACGUCUCAAGCAUCUCUGCGCCAUCAUUAUCCAGUACGCAAUCCUUUUUAUCAGAAUUAGCACGUGACGCGCUCUUUUGCCAAUCCCGUUAACGGAAGCUAUUUGCGCUUAUCGUCAUUUCUGCAGCACGCAGAUACGUUUGACGUAAUCCUUAUUAGCCCAAAGUGCAAUGGAAAUUACGUGAUUUUUACGUGAAGAGCGCCGCAACGUAAUCUCACUGGCGUUAUCGUGAAGUAUGCUGAACAAACGUUUUGUAAUAUCUUAACAAUACCUAAACAAAAGGAUAUCUUUUUAGUUUUUGUUCUAAGAUUUAACGUAGAAUUUUCAUGUCCAUUAAAAAGAUGCUCAACUAUACAUAUAUUUUUUCUUCAACAUCUAUCUAAACAACUUCAUCAAUAUUAAAAUAAAAAUCUAAUGAAAAUUUGCCGGGAAAUAAAAAAUAAUUGUAUGAUUAAUAUAAAAAUAGACAUAUCUUAGUGAAAUAAUUUAUCUCCUCGUUAUAAGCAAUAAAACAGUCAUGUCAGAAAGAGCUUAUAUUUCCCUGUGCAUUCUAAUGUUUUUUUUUUCCAGUAGUAAAUCAUUUGGAAUUUCGAUCCAGCCGUUAUAUAAAUCAGUUUCUAUAAUUAAAGCCAAACCGAUCCAAUCGAGUAUAGAGCGAAAGAAAGAACCCGCGAGUUUUCUCGCGGUAUCGCGGCCCCUUGCUCGACUUCCUAAUACCGAGAGGGAGGAGAUGGCGGUCCCCUCUUUCUCUCCUUUGAAACGUCAGGACCUCCUUCUUCGAGGUGCGGUAUGGAGAAGCCGAUGUUGUACGGAGUUUAUAUAAUAAAAGAAACGAAGUAAGAGGAGGAGGGGGAGGGAAGGGAGGGUCUCAGCUCCAAACGCACAUACCGCGGUCUCGCAAAAUACCGGUACGCGGCGGUCGCGUUGCGCAAGAAGCGCCUGGCACGCCAGCAUUAUUCUAGGUUAAAUAAUAUUAUGUCACGAGGAAAGCGGGACUUGUGCAAUUCGACGCGUGAGCGAGCUCGUUCCGUUGGGUCAGCCGAAGAAACUUUGCUUCCUCUCUCCCUCGAUUCCGUCGCGAAUUUUAUCUCCCGUCGUCUCUCGCUAUGCCACCACGUCCCCCGAAUGGGGCGAUUACGCAUAUAGAGUCUCACUGAACGUUUUGCUAAUUUGAGUUCUUUUUUUACAAUGUCAAUUUUAAUACGUAAAUAAUAGAUGCCUCCGUCUGGUCCUCCAAUUAUGCACGAGUUGACGACAAUUUAAACAGUUUUCGUUUUAAUAGAAAAUGUUUGGCGUUGAAAAUUCAAAAGACAUGAUAUAAGUAGUGUCCUAUUAAACUUUCGACAAGAAAAGGUCAGUUUCGAAUAUGGUACUCUCUCAAUAAUUCUACGUUAUUAUCAUAUUGGUACUAGGGAGCUCAAAAAACGUGAUAAUUUCUUCAAGUAUCUGUAGACUGUAUCUAUCUUAAAAAUAUAUAAAAAAAAAGUUUGAUCGAGCAACAACGAUUUUAUUAUUAUUGAUUCUAAAUUGACACAUUUCAGCAUUAUGAAAAAUAAUUGGCGCCUGCGUUUUCCUCGUCCGCGCGUCUCAGAUUGCGAUCUAAUCACGCUUGUCUUGUGCAAUGCCGUUUAAGGAUGGAUCCGCUCGGCACCCACACGACGCCAGACGAGAUGCAUUUAUCUCGCCUCUCGCAUAAAUGUCCCGAGUGCGCGAGUACAUGGAACGACGAGCGCACUGUGAGGAGUUGAACCUUUAGCCGAUCUCUCAUCCGGAGAAAACGUGCGCGGACUUUUGAAGAGAAAGAGGAGGACGAGGAGGAGGAGGACGAAGAGCAGACCGGGGCACGACUCUCGUUCGUGUCUACACCUGGUGCAAUCGCGAGACCUCUUCGCCGAGUACCGGUUCGCAUGAAGAUAUUAAGCAACGUCUGACGUAAUCGCAUGCCCGGUCGUUCGUCGAUCUAAUCGUCUCGCCAAUUAUCCUUUCUCUCUUUCUCUUUUUCUCACCUCUUCCAGUUCCCAUUCUUCUUCCGAUAUCCUGCAUAUCUUUCACGGACAGCGUGUUGUCAUUAGCAAUUUAUAAUGAUGCUCCUUAUUUUCGACGUUACCGAAACUUAGGGGAGAAAACGACGACAUCAACCAUCUCUUUGACGAGAAAUGGUCAAACGUAAUAAAUUUGGAAAAUCAAAUAUCAACGAUUGAUAUUACAUUUUUAAUUUUCUUUUUGUGUCUUUUUAUUUUAGAGAUAUUAGAAGCGAUACUUUUUGUGACAUUGUUACGUCAAUUCGUUUAGCUGGACAGCCGGAUAUUAUAUUUAUUAAACCUGUUUACAUAGUCGCUUCAUGCGUAAAAUUUUCAAAAGACGUAUCUCUCCGUAAUUUCCGUUCGUGAAUAAUAAAGCAGAUCAACGGAAUGCGAGGUUCGGUAGUGGGAUGAUCCACGGAAACCGAAGGAACGGUCAGCGCACGCGGCCGCGUUCAGGAUCGUUCUGUGCACAAGAGAUACGGGACGCAAAUCACCGGAUGCGUUGGAAAUAGAGAAAAAGAGGAUGCAAACGCAGAAGUGUGGACCACACGUAGAAAGAGGCGGUUUGAAAAGCAAUUUGCGGCCAGGAAAGAGAUCGCGUCCCGUUCGGUACUUCCUCGCGCGUGGAUGGCGUGCGAAUAAGUUCAGGUUGCGCGAUGAUGCCGACUAUGAUGAUCAUGAUGACGAUGAUGAUAAUGAUAAUGUUGCUGCUGAUUAUGAUAAUGUUGGAUCCUCUUUAAAACCCACAAGCGAGUUCUAUAUUCGAGAUGCCUUUCCGUAAACUUCGCGAGAUAUUUUGCCUUUAAAUGUUUCUUUAAUGAUUUUAAGUCUUUCAUUAAUAAUUUGUAUAGUCAAGUUUCGCAUAGUUAAAUUGGAAAACAAUAAGAUAAAACUAUUUAUUUACGAUUAGACAGCACUCUACGAAAGCGCGCUCUGCACGCUAUUUAGUAUUCUAAUUUUACUUUUUAAAAACAAAUUGCAAUCAAUUGUAUAGAUAACAAUCUAUACAAAUUAUUAUUUAGUAAUUCGGCAAUGACAAUAUCUUACGAAAUUAUAUAGUGCAGCAAAAGAAUCAAUCAGCGUUGCAGUAAAGCGAUGACAACAUUUCGAUAGAUUCAAUUAUCAUAUGCCCUUUUUUAAAAGUGAUGAUACCUAUACAGCACAAGAUGUUCUACGAAUAUCUAGAAUGUUUCUAGAAUCUAGUUUUUUGCACCUAGAAUUGCACCUUUUUAACAGUUUUAAAAAAAGAAAUAAAAUUUUAAAUAGCAGCUUCUUUCUAUUUGUCAACAUUCUAUAUCUCAAAAAAUUAAAUUUUGUUCGAACGUUGCACUCAAGAUUAAUUAAUAAUUGUUUUCUCUUUCUCGUAAAAAAACCAUUAUUUUCUUAAAGCUCACAUUUUCCGAUUAUCCAAUGUUUUUUAUUUAAUGACGAUAUUCAAGGAACGUUACCAUCCGCAUCAGCUUGCACUCGCGAAAAUGUGACGCUCCUCGUCCAAUAAGAUGACCUGCAUCCAACUGCAGUCUAAAAACGCCAAAUUGUAUCGAUUACAGAUAUUUCGUUGCGAGCCGUUAAACAUAGCCUUCUCGAAUCGAGCACGUAACGACUUCUGCAGCAAAAUCGGUUAGCGGUCUAACGAACUUUAAUCAAAUCCACUGCGAACGCCACGCUCGCAUAUGCGAUUAAUUUGAAUCGCACCAAAAUCGGACAUCGGUAAUUAGAUAUUGAUCCCGUGACGGAACGAUCCUGUCCACCGCGUCGCUUGUAAAAUUACACUCUCGGGAUUUAACACUUUGUUAUUUAAUUUGGAACGUACGAUUCGAUCGGACCAAACUUAUACGCGACGUCGUUUUAAAAUUACCCAAGUACAAUUUAUUCGCACAAAUACAAUGGACAUUACCAUAUUUCGUAAAAUUCUACAGUUGCACGUUACAAGAUUAUCCGCGUUUGCCUAUUUUUAAAGAAGUUAUAUCCGUGACUGUAAAUUUGCACGAGCGAAGGGGUCAGACACGAGCAUUCACCUGUUCUUCUCUUUCGGCCACGAAAGAAUUAAAUCAUCACGAACGACCACCGUAGACUUCAGAUGAAAAUGACAAAGAGGAAGUCAUUCGAGCGGCAUUAUGUCACGCGUGAUCCUCCAAUCAUGUCUCUCUGACUUCCGCUUGUUUUUUACGCGCGCUCGUUAUCAUCGACGUCGUUAUCGUCACUCCUUCUCCGCGAAUUCUUCUUGGUAUUCGGCACGAUUGACUUUUGCGCAACCCCUCGUAUCGCUUGUGAUCGCAUCCAUGCGCUCGGGCACAUGCAAACAGCAUACGAUGAACUUUUCCGUAUCGGGAACGCUUAUGAAAUAAUUCAUCGCGAAUCGGUAUCCAUGAUCGACCGGCUAAAGGUCCGCUCGCACCUCGCGGCGACGAAAGGGAAAGGAUGUUGUACGGAUGAUGAUCGCAGGCGAGCUGCGUCAACUGCUCGGCCUCGUUCAUACAAUUGUCGUCGAUGGCAUCGAGAUUAGAACGACUCGACAACGCGUUCUCGAGCAUUUAUAGCGACAUACAAGUCUCUGACGGAUUUUUAGAUACAAGUGUUUCGCGGAAACGAAAGGAGAAUACAACUUUGUUCGCGGGUUUUCGAGGGAGCUACGCGCAUAUCACGCCUCGUCGCGGUUUAAUUAAGGGAUCCAAGAACAAAUUGUCGUAUUUAAGUUCGGAACAGACAGGCUCAGAUUCUAUCGAAAGAUUUAGCGAGACUUCGGGUUUAUCGUUUGUAGAUCGAGCAUAAACUCUCGACGUAUGAAGUCUUCAUCUUUCCGUGGCACGACGCUUUUGUGCAUCGCGAGACGACUACGUUGUCGGAUUCUUCGUAUUGGAACACGAAAAGCAACGACUCACGCUGCUCAAUCGUGUUGCGACUCUAUCCGCGGCGCGUCGAACACGGCACGUCUACAUAACGCUAUCGAUAAAUCUAUCCGGGAUGCAUCCUUUAAGAUGUUCUUGCUGCUGUCGGAUUACCCAACAUCGGCAAAGCACCCGCGCCGAUCUCUGCUCCGACGGAUAAGGGAAUCGAGGAGAGGAGAGGGAUAGGUUAGCUUCGUGCGAGCAAAUCCUCGUGAAGUAACAGAAUAAAGUUGCGCAAGCCGCAUCGUGGGUGAGAAGACGGUACCCCGGAGAAUCGAAGGAAGACCGCGCGGAACGCGACGCAACGGCGUAGAAUCGACGGAGAGAUCGUCUUGAUAUAUUGAAUUACAUCCCCGCGAUUGAUGAGGCAUCUGAAAUCUAACGGGAAAAUUUGAGAAAAAAGUUGCACAGUUUAAAACGAUUACUUUAUUGGUCGCAAAACCUUUUGGACUCGAGAGACGAAGACGUUUCUUUACUCUACUUGGAUGCUCUUCCUAUGAGAAAUACGGAAAUGGCCAACGUUAAAAUUCGGAAGAAAUUUUCAUUCGAAAUUAAAACCAUAGCACGUAUAUGUAAAAUGAUGUAAAGCGAAUGUAAAGUUGGAUAGUAAAACUUCUCGAACAAAACGUUUUAUAAAAUAAAAUUACAGCUAAUUAAUUUGAAAAAAUUUAAUAUUCUUUCAGCAAAAAAUGUUUAAUUUUUUCACUCGUUUCAGUUUUAAAUGUAAAAAGUAGUUACAUUUUAUCUAUUACGUUCUAGCAAUCUUCGAGAGAAAGAGAGAGAGAUAUACAUAUCAAAAGGAUACUCAUCUAUUAUUAGAGGAUAAUUUUUAUGGAAUGUCGUUUCUUCGGAUCUCACAGCCUCGACGCCACUGGCGAAGGACGGAGAUAGUCGAGAGGAAGAGAAAGGACGCUCCGCGAGAGUUCAUCGCGUUACGUAAGUGACGUGAAUGCGGCUUAAAGGUGCGGUGGAAGCGCAAAGAGUACACGAUCGGUUGUGUCGCUCUGACAUUUUCUCCGUAAAUACUAAUAGGACGACGCUCUCGCGAUUCGUUGUUUGAUUUACGCCUCGCCACUUCACGUCUCGCGGCUACUCAUUUUACCAUUGCUCAUUAGAACCCAUAUUUCCCUUCUUAACUCUCGCGUCAAAGUACGAGUUUGCGAGAUCAUCCCUUUGAAUUUCUACGGAGGGAAAAAAUGCGAAACAAUUCGUUCGCAUAGAACGAGGUCAAUGACCAAAACGAUGCCGAGAAUUUCAUUGUCGAAAAGAGGGUGGAACGAGAGGAAACACGCGAGAGACGCGCGUAAGAAGGUGGAAGAAAACGAGGAAAGAGACGACGAUCCCUGAUUUCUGAAGAAACAGGACAAUAGCGCUUUCUAGAGGGAUCGUUUUUAAGUUCCUGUUGUUAAAAUCGGGCAUUGCUCGCGGGCCUUGGCCUCUAGCCCUAGUUCUAAGAAAAUUCUCUUGCGCAAACCCUAGCACAAAGAACAUUUUAUACACACACACGCACACACACACACACAUACGUACACACAGAUAUAUAUCCUGACACACUUCAUCCUCGUGCCUUCUUUUAUUCCUGUAGGGUGUUUCCCUUACAUCCUAAAAUUUUUUUUCUCUCUAAGUUACUGUCUAAGCCACUCUCUAAGCCGCAUCUUUUUUCAAUGUAUAACGACGUGCGACCAGGUAUAGCUUCCUUCUGUCAGGUAUGUCAUUCCACGGCCCAGAAAGUUUCCAAAGUUUAUAGCUUUGUUGUAUAUCUGUGUCACGUGUUAAAUAUAAUAUACACGGCAAUUAGCAACUAUGAAACCGCUACUACGAAAUAAUUAUUUUGUGAUAUGUUAUCUUACUUGGCGUAUUAAUGUGUCAGAUCUCUACAUCUCUAAUUUUUUGCUUUUUUGAAAUUAAAAAUGAUAAAUUUCAAAGAAAUGUAUUUCUCAGGAAUCAAUGUUGUGUUUUGGGCGAAAUAAAAUAUAAAAUAAAAUAUCCGUUUUGUUAAAGUCGGAUAAUAUCGAAUUAUGUUUACCGAAAUCUCAUUCAGGAGUUCAUACAACGUUCUCGUUAGUAACGAGAUACGCGUAUCGGAAGCUUCUUCGGUACUCCGAACGAUUCGUGAAGAAACGAAGAUUACCAUUAGCGCACACGUGCGUCCCAGAAAGUUCGUAGAAGCAAUUUCCAUGACGGCGACCACCUGCAAGUCUUAAUCGAGCCUUAAUGUGCAAUAAGGAGAAUAAUGACGCUGCCGAUAAUAACAAAUGGACUCUUUGUUGACAAUAAUAGAGUGAAAGUGGUCCAAUAAGUGGUGUGCCGAUGAAAUUACGGGAUGUCGCGUGUCACAGAAGCCGCGUGACUUUUUUCUUUCCCUGCCUUUGCUGCACGAAAUGGAGAAACAUUUCAAGUGGACGUCAGUUUCGUGAAUGAAUUACACUUUCUCGAUGACGAAGAAACAGACACGAUACGCUGGGCUGACAAAUUUGCAUUUCUGGCCCAUCAUUUCCGGAUGUCACGUGGGAUUAGGAUCAACCCUUCGCUGUUCGGACGCAUGUAAAGUGGCAAACGAGUUCUAGAACUCGACGUUCUCCUGUUCAACCCUCGGUAUCUCUUUUUUCUCUUUUCGUCAUCCAACGAGAUGAUGCGUGCACACACGUGCGUUUCAUGGCUUGAGUAAGAUCAUCCCGAAUCUUGCACGAAAAGCAAGAGAAGCCGACAACGUAGAGGGAGAAAGGUUGAGAUGGAGGCAAAAAAGGGAUUGGAAAGGAAACCUGUAACGGUCGUAGGAGGAGUCGUGGGAAAGCGGUCGGCGGGAUUCAUAGGCUUCUUCUUCCGAAGGUGCUUGCGCGGGCGACGGGAUAAGAGGGGGAGAGUCGGCGCAUUGUCCGACACACGACCAGGGUUGGUCCUGGUUACGACCCUUGUCGGCUGCUUCGCCCCUCGGCUCGUACAUUCCCGCAAUGACGCAGAAUGAACGAAGAGAGGAUUUCUUCCACUUCGGUUGCCGGUGGCGAGAAACGUCUGAUUUACCGCGUUUUGAUACUCAGCGAUGAAACACCCUUCCCUGCUGCGAUACUCACUUUUUAUUGAUGUAAUAUAGCGCAGUGCAAUAUGAAUUGCCCGGGAAAGCUAUUCGAAAUGAAUUAUAUUGUACUAUAUUUUAGCGUUAUAUGUACGAGUAAUAAAAUUUUAAUACACACAAAGUAAAAAUGAGCUAAUGAGCUUAAAAAACUGAAGCAUAUUAUCGGACCCAAUUAUUAUUUUUCUUUUUAAGUAAAUUAUCAGAAACGUAUGUUCUCCACGAAAUUAAUGCGUCGACGAAAUAAUCACGUUCCUAAAAUAUUCAAUUACAGCACUUUACUUCGCUGGACAUUACUGCAGCUGGUUACUCAAGCCACGCGAAGUCACCGAUGGUCAUUCGCUAACCGUUCCCGCACGUCGCCAUUAAUCUUGCAGACUAGUGUCCCCCUCGGUUCGUGAAGGGUACCGAACUCGUUUUACGCACCCCCGGCUUACACACGAAACUUUAUGCAAAUGAGUCGCCAUUCACAACUAGGUAAUGCCGUUUGCACUCUGGGUCUCUGUGCUGUCUGGAAAAAAGACUGCGCUUCCCGGCAUGCAACCCUUGGGUCAGGGAUGAAAUUUCGAGUCCGUUCGAAGAAGACGCAUUGAGAGCGUGAUUUCUAUGCCGUAAUCACGUUUCAAAGGAAGUGUAAUUUUGCCGAAUCGCGGAGUUCUCAUCAAGAUUCGUCAGUUCGCAGCGGUUCUGUUUCUUUUUUUUUUCUCUGGUCUCCUCUUUGAUGAAAAAAAUAUUACUGCAUUGAAUAUGGCCAUUUAAAAAAAUAGAAUUUUAAAACGAUGCUUGUCACUAUUUUUCACUGCUUAUUGUUUGUUUCUCGUUCAUUAUUUCACAUUUAUCAAUUUGAGCCAGCAAAUGCUCAAAUUUUGAAAAUAUUUGAAUCGUGCUGAUUCAAGAAUUCUUUUUUUUAUCUUAAAGAUCAUCUUGCCGGAUUUUCCCAUACUCUGUUGGAACACCUGCUUGAAUCUGGAGAGAACGCUUCUGAAGGCUGUACGAUUUCUAUAGGUAGUUCAUAGUGCGUAUAUCUCCAAUACUUUGCCUAAAUGCUUCGGCCACGUGACCGCUUUAUAUCGAAUACCUGCAGCGAUUGAAAGAAUCUUUGAUGCACCUUAGCAACAGUCCUCUAUGCAACUCUUAUAAAUAACUCGGAAACCAACUGACAUAAUUUCCCGUGAUUUUGGAAAUCCAGAUACUUCGUGCGAUAUGUUAUACACCAUAAAGUUACAAUAAACAUUACCACAAAUCCAUGUAACAUUCGUAAUGUGCAAUGCCCUAUCAGUAAAAAUUUUUAAAAAUAAUACAAUUUCUAUCGUUUUAAUUCAUUAGUAUUCCUACAAUAAAUUAAUAAUUUCUAUUCCACUUUAAUUUGCUUGGUUGUUUUUUUUUUUACAAUUAAUUAAGUAUUUAUGUACGCAAAGUAACAAAACUAUUCCCUGACGACACUCACGGUCACCACGAAGUGACGCUUGUAUCUUUAACAAGAGGUCAACCCUUUCUUAAACCCGCAGGAUUGAGCUAAGCGGUAAAUCGUCCGAGCAGUUUGUUCGACGACUUGACAGUAUCCGUCAUCCUAAUCACGACGAUUUAUCAAUUUACCAAUAAUCGUGCGAGAUACUCUUAAAGAUCAAAAGGAAUAACAGUAUAUAGGGCAAAUUAUAAAUAUUUUACUAAGGGCACUAAGCUCUCUCGGAGCUGAUAUCGCAAAGAAAAUCGUCGAAAGCACAAGCGUGCUUUCAAAAGAGUUAACAAGAUAUAAAGUAAUCAGAAUUUGCGACAUGCAAAGUACAUGCAAAGCUGCAAAGUAUAUUGAAGUCCAAAAUACAGAUCAAAAGCUUAUCAAAACCUCAAAAGAGAAAUACUAUCCCAAAAAUGAUAAAAAAUAUUGAUAGUAAAAUCUCAACUGUAUAUGUAAUAAUAAUGUAAUAACGUUAACUUUGCUUUGCUUUAAUUGUCAUGUUCUUAUUUUUUUAUUUUAGACUAGAGUAAAUUUGUAAUCUAUGCGAAAACGGAUUCCUUCUCCGAGAUUUCUUUAAUGAAAAUAAUCGAUAUUGUAAACAGCCCGUCAAUCUUCCCUGGAACAUCCCGCGUGUAAAUACAAUCGUUUGUCGACGCGAGUGUAUCGUACACUCCUAACUAGACAUCGAUCGACGAUAAUCGGCCACGAGGAGGAAGCGGAAGGGUCGGACCGACGCGCGAAUCGUUUAGAUACGGAGAUUCGUUCCCCGGAGGUAGAAGGAGAGGCCGAUUACACGAGGAAGAGCGGAGGCUCGGGACGAAGCCCCGGAGCCAACGCCCAGUCAAUCUCGAGGACACGACUAGAAGCGAUCGCCUCGGUCGGAGGCCUCCGAACGGUUGCGGCCACCGACCGGCCAACCGCUUCCUUCCUUUUAGGCAUAAACUCCUUCAAUACGCCCGCGGCUGCUGCUGUAAAUACACUGUCGCAGGUAAACUUCAAAAGCAGGGUCUUCGACCUCUCGAGGGUUACGCCGUGCAUGUAGAGCACCCGCGGUGGCCCGCCCCGGGGACCGCUCGCGCGAUUAUAAUUGCUGAUACGACGAUGAAAAAGGGACGCCAGCAUCCAAUUAGCCAAUGUUAAUACAUUGAACACGAAAGUCAACGGUAUUGUUUGCGAAUGAUGAGGAGAGAUCUAAGAAUUGAGGACAUUACCGACGAGCUGCGCUUAAAAUUAAUUACACUUCUCCCUGUCUUUUGACGCUGCAUUUAUCGCUGGGAUUAUAUUUUAAUUUUAGCAAUAAUUACAAUUAUAAAAGCUUAACAUAUUGAUAAAUAAUUUUAACGAUAACUAUGUAUCAUUAUAAGCUAAAAAUGAUUUAUUUCAAGCUUUACCUUCACUUUGUAUUAAUAUUGAUAAACUAGAAUAUUUCUCUCUUCAGACAGAACUAGACGGAAAAUCAAUUGGAUUGUGAUCAACUUCGAUUGACGCGUGUGCGCGAGAAGGGGAAGACUAUCUGCUCUUAUUUUAACAAGUAGUCGGCGCGUCUUCUUCGUCGAGGGUGAGUUGAUCGCUUGGGGCGUCGCGUCAGAGGCGCGUCGUCUCGCGUUUAAUCGCGCUGGAUGACGGAUAUCGGCUGUUACGCGCGAUAAUGCGCGCUCUCGUAAUACCGGAUCCCUGGACCGUUCCGAGGGAAGCUCGACUGGCUUCUUCGGCCGAAGAGAAGGAGAGGAUCGGAAUGCGGCGGCGGUGGUGGUGGCGGCGGCGGCGGCGGCGGCAAUGGUGGCGGCGGUUUAAUCGAGGGUCGUCGCUGCGGCGCAUAACGAUACUUUAAAGCCGUGCGACUGCAUGUUGUCGCUCAGAAACUAUAAUCGCCCUGGGAAAAGCUUGUACUCGCCUGACGUCGACGUCCAUUCGUUAGCCGGUGCGUCUCCGCAGGCGCGUGUAUCUCGUCUUUCUUCCUCGAGACGGUAGCUGUAAUACGGACUUUACCUGAGGCGGAGCGGCUUUGCUAACCGACACCGAUUAAAGAGACGAUAGGGACAAUAAUAAGUUUCCCCUCUCUUAUUGAGUCGUUUGCACAGCCCCUUUACUAGAAUACAGAGAGAGAGAGAGAGAGAGAGAGAGAGAGAGAGAGAGAGAGAGAGGAGAGAGAGAGA